rnacentral:rRNA from 1 species
UACGGAGGGUGCAAGCGUUAUCCGGAUUCACUGGGUUUAAAGGGUGCGUAGGUGGGUUGGUAAGUCAGUGGUGAAAUCCCAGAGCUUAACUUGGGAACUGCCAUUGAUACUAUCUGUCUUGAAUACCGUGGAGGUGAGCGGAAUAUGUCAUGUAGCGGUGAAAUGCUUAGAUAUGACAUAGAACACCAAUUGCGAAGGCAGCUCACUACACGAAUAUUGACACUGAGGCACGAAAGCGUGGGGAUCAAACAGG